rnacentral:rRNA from 1 species
UACGUAGGUGGCAAGCGUUGUCCGGAAUUACUGGGCGUAAAGCGUGCGCAGGCGGUUCGUUGUGUCGGUGGUGAAAGCCCCGGGCUUAACCUGGGAAUGGCCAUGGAAACUGGCGAACUGGAGUGUGGCAGAGGGGGGUGGAAUUCCGCGUGUAGCAGUGAAAUGCGUAGAGAUGCGGAGGAACACCGAUGGCGAAGGCAGCCCCCUGGGCUAGCACUGACGCUCAGGCACGAAAGCGUGGGGAGCAAACAGG